UCCUACGGGGCGCAGCAGUGGGGAAUAUUGCACAAUGGGGGAAACCCUGAUGCAGCGACGCCGCGUGAGUGAAGAAGUAUUUCGGUAUGUAAAGCUCUAUCAGCAGGGAAGAUAAUGACGGUACCUGACUAAGAAGCCCCGGCUAACUACGUGCCAGCAGCCGCGGUAAUACGUAGGGGGCAAGCGUUAUCCGGAUUUACUGGGUGUAAAGGGUGCGUAGGUGGCAGGGCAAGUCAGAUGUGAAAGCCCGGGGCUCAACCCCGGGACUGCAUUGGAAACUACCGAACUAGAGUGUCGGAGAGGUA
rnacentral:rRNA from 1 species